AAAGAGCGAUAUGUAGUGCGAAAUGCGCUCACCUGAGAGUCAUCGAGUUUUUGAACGCAACUUGCGUCCCGCGGGCAACUGCGGGGCAUGUCUGUUUGAGGAUCGGAAUCUGUUGCUUCAUGCGAGGCAGAGUUGGGGCGUCGGAUCGGCGGCCUGGAACGGAGAGGAGGACAGUUUGCUGUCGCAGCGUGCUAGUUGCGUGGCAGCAAGGUCGCGGCAGGCAGCGGCUGUCCGCAGGUGUGUGGAGCAAGCUACUUUAGUUUGGUUUAUUUUAGUUUGGUUUAUUUUAGUUUGGAUGCGCACAAGCAUGUGCAAACAUGCGCAAACAUGCACAAGCAUGCGCACAUGCAAACAUGCACACCUGCACAGUACAUUUGAUCUCAAAUCAGACAGGACUACC
rnacentral:misc_RNA from 1 species